CAAUUUUAUUGCAUUAAAAUUCUAACUGCAUUAUGCAUUAAAUUCUAACUUUCAUGUGUCCACAGGAGGAAGCAAAUUAGUCUGCCUAAAUUGGAUGCUGGAGGAAACCUUUGUUUUUAGAUAUUAUUUGGUGAUGAGAUGAAGGAUAUCAGAGAGGAAAAAGAGGUCUCUGUUCACCAGGCAAAUGAGGAAACUGGGCCAACAGUUCUCCAACUGUACCCUUGCAACUGAGGAUCUAAACGGUAUCAGUCAAUCCUGUCUUAAUUCAAGGCAGUAGACUUAACUGAGCUCUCUUCAGUAUCUUGCCAGAGUCAUCAGGGGGAAGUCUUCAAUCAGAUUUUAUCUGCUGCCCAUGUGGAGGUAGGACAUUAAGCUAAAUGUUUGCCACAUCACACA
rnacentral:lncRNA from 1 species